GCGGGUACCAGGGCCCCACUUCAUCCCCGCAACCUUUCUGGGCGGGCGCAAGGCGCUCGGGGUCCGGCCCUGAUAGGCGGGGCCACAUUGAGUGACGGCCCGGCCCCGCCUUCCGGUUUAGGGGACGCGGGGGGUGCUGCCAACGCGGAAGUGCUUCAAGCCUGCAUUGCUAUUAUGAAGCACAUCAACUUGUCCUUCGCAGCGUGUGGGUUUCUGGGGAUUUACCACUUGGGGGCAGCAUCUGCACUUUGCAAACACGGCAAAAAGCUCCUGAAGGAUGUCCAGGCCUUUGCCGGGGCUUCUGCUGGUUCCUUGGUUGCUUCCGUCCUGCUAACUGCACCAGAAAAAAUAGAGGAGUGUAACGCGUUCACCUACAACUUUGCCGAGGAAAUCCGAAGGCAGUGGUUUGGAGCAGUAACCCCCGGCUAUGAUUUCAUGGGCCGAUUGAGGAGUGGAAUGGAGUCGAUUCUCCCUCCCAACGCGCACGAGCUGGCCCACCACCGCCUCCACGUGUCCAUCACCAGCACCAGGACCAGAGAGAACUACCUGGUCUCCAGCUUUCCCUCCAGAGAGGACCUCAUUCAGAAAUGGAUAGACGGUGGCUUCACCGACAGCCUGCCCAUCCUGCCUGGCGGCCGGACAGUGACCAUCUCACCAUUCAGCGGGCGACUGGACAUCUCCCCACAGGACAAAGGGCAGCUGGGUCUCUAUGUCGGCAUCGCCAACCAGCACAUACUGCCUUACGGAGACAUGACGGACACACAACAUAAUGUCGAAGUGAUGAUUGGAUGACAUAUAAUGUGAUGAUUUGAGACACAUCUGAAGAGAGGAAUGGGCACCAAGUGUCCCUGGUGAAAAAAAGAAAAUGGAUUUUUCAGACUGCCACGAACCUUUCCUUUUCCACGUGUGUAAAGAGGGUGGCAUUUAUUUUCGGCACUACUUUAUUUAUUUUUAAAUUUGCAAACAUCAAAAAAUGGAGAACGAGCCAAGACUUGAGUAUUCAGAUAAUUGUAAGAAGUGGGUUGAGCUCAUGUCAGUAUUUGAAGGCAAGCCCAAGAAGGCAAUAGGAGAAGUUUCCUGUGGACGUUGGAGUAAGGAAUGGGCACUUGUUCCGUUCAAACAGUGGGAAAUGCUGAUCAAAACUACCAUGAGCUACCACCUCGCACCAGUCAGAAUGGCCCUCAUUCAUAAGUCCACAGAUAACAAGUGCUGGAGGAGCUGUGGAGAAAAGGGAACCCUCCUGCACUGCUGGUGGGAAUGUCAACUGGUACAGCCACUAUGGAGAACAGUUUGGAGAUACCUUAGAAAGCUAUACAUAGAACUUCCAUAUGACCCCGCAAUCCCACUCUUGGGCAUCUAUCCGGACAAAACUCUACUUAAAAGAGACACAUGCACCCGCACGUGUUCAUUGCAGCACUAUUCACAAUAGCCAGGACAUGGAAACAACCCAACUGUCCAUCCACAGAUGACUGGAUUCGGAAGAUGUGGUAUAUAUACACAAUGGAAUACUACUCAGCCAUAAAAAAGAAUGACAUCAUGCCAUUUGCAGCAACGUGGAUGGAACUAGAGAAUCUCACCCUGAGUGAAAUGAGCCAGAAAGACAAAGACAAAUACCAUAUGAUAUCACUUAUAACUGGAAUCUAAUAUCCAGCACAAAUGAACAUCUCCUCAGAAAAGAAAAUCAUGGACUUGGAGAAGAGACUUGUGGCUGCCUGAUGGGAGGGGGAGGGAGUGGGAGGGAUCGGGAGCUUGGGCUUAUCAGACACAACUUAGAAUAGAUUUACAAGGAGAUCCUGCUGAAUAGCACUGAGAACUUUGUCUAGAUACUCAUGCUGCAACAGAACAAAGGGUGGGGGGAAAAAUGUAAUUAUAAUGUAUACCUGUAAGGAUAACCUGACCCCCUUGCUGUACAGUGGGGAAAAAAAAAAAAAAGUGGGACAUAGAUCUGGACAUAUCCUAUUUCUUUGUCCAUCUCUCUUGUCAAAAGGUCUAGAAAUAUCCAUGUCUUCAUCUAAGCCUUGGUGAUGAAAUAAGUUCUGAUUCUGGAUAAGUUUUCUCCCCUACAUAGUUGUUGGGAUUUACGUUCAGCUGUUACCUUAUACUUAGAGAAUUUAUUUGCCAAACAGUUACAUGGAUUUCAAUUUAUUGUGCCUACAGGGCAUGCGUGUUUGGCUAAACCAGAGAAACCUACUCCAACAGGCUCAGGCAUUGGGAAACAGUCAUGUUGCAAACUCUUGCUGUAGUCAAACUGAACGUGGAGCCAAUGAAUCAUCAGACUUCUGACCUCGGGAAAAUUGUAUAGAUCAGUGGUCCUCUCUAAAUAAUAUAUGAAGCUGGAUACUCACUAAGUUUCACACUGAGGUCUGGGAGGAGGGGGGCUGUGGGUCACACUGAGUAGAGAUUAAUGAGGCUGUGUAUAUUUCCUGCUCUGUGGGCAAAUAAUUCAAUAUAUGCCAAGGAAGUCACUGAUGGAAAACAGGAGACCCUGCAUUGACGUGUUAGGUAUUUUGAGACCAUACUCAACGGAAAUUAAUUAAGUGCUACAGUAUCUGUGAUUAAAUAAUCUUUAGGGAAAACCAGAAAAUUCACGAAAAAGGAAAUGGAAGAGAAAGGAAGUAAAUUCUAGGCAGCAGGAGCAGAAACAAUGAUAAAGUAAGUUGUAAACAGUAGCCAAAACAACAAUAAACUAAGGUGUAGACACAGCUCAUUUGAGGCGUGUCCAGAACAGCCCCGUGUCCUUUAUAUUUUUCACAUUCUUGUGUCAUUUGGUUGGUAUGUGUUGGGGCGUGUUGCUGUGAGGAAUGGUAUUUGAGUGUUCAGGGAGGAGGGUGACUUUGUCAAAGCAAAGUCCAAGGUCUUGGACAGGGGACGGGAGUGGGAUUAACCAGAGACAGUGAUGGAGAAGCGGCAAAAGGCUGGGGAGUGGGGUGAAGCCAUUCCUGUUGGGGAUGCCAAAUCUGUGGGAGGAAGAGACAUUUUUUUAAGAGCCAUUGCAGGGUCGUGUGAUGUGAGUCUGAAUUUAAGUCCAUGAAAAUUUACUCAGAGGCCCAGAAGUCAAGUACAGGUGCUGGUGAAGGUUUCUGGAGAACAUCACAUCUGAGGUGAACCAGGAAUUCAAAAAGGACUAGUGAAGAGCCUCAGAGAAAGAUAAAAGGGGUUCCAUCCUGGGGAAAGGGAUGUUUCCUGAAGAUAUGAUGUGGGCACUGGUAUAAGACAUGUGACAAUGCAGCGAGAAGAGGGAGGUUGAGUGAAGAUGCAAGAGAUGUCCAGACAAAGGGAAGGACAUGUUCGAUGAUCGCACCCUUUAGGGGAUAGCCCACCUUUAAGUGAAUACGACCUUAGGGCUCUCCAUGACCUCAACCUUACUGGAUUCUCAGCAUCAUCUUUUAUCACACACCCUGCUGCCCAGUCUAAGCUUCUGUCUUAAAGCCGCUCCAGACUCCACUCCAGAUCAACGAGCAGGAUCUCUGAAGCUGAUUGGUCAUGGGCUACGAGGAAGAGGCGUCAGUGCAGUUCCCAUGUGACCCGGGGAGGGUGUCAAUCCCUACAGCUAUUCUGAAGGGCAACUUGCCUUCCUCUCUGCUAGGUGCUUUACAGAUAUUUUUGGAAGUGUUAUCUCUGUCCCAGAGAGGAUGGAAUAGCUUUGUGGCAAGGACAAGGGAUCAACUUAAAGUCCCAGGUGACAGCUUGCUUCUGAGCCCACAUGUGCCUGGCUCCCAAGGCCCUCAUCUUUUCAUGGCAUCACCUGCCCACCAAAGGUGAGGUACAAACACAAACUAAACAAUCUUAUGGUGCUUGAACGUUGCUUAUAUAAAAAUGGGGCUUUCUUAUAAUGCCAGUACUAGGAACCAGAAUGCAUACCUCUUUAAGAAUUUGCAACCCUAGGGAGUUCUGUUAGAUGCAGUGGGUUAAGGAUGGGGGAUUGUCACUGCAGCAGCUUGGGUUGCUGUUGUGGUGCAGGUUCGAACCCUGGCCCAGGAACUUUGAUAUGCUGCAGGUGCAGCCAAAAAAAACCCAUAGCUACAUGAUAUUGAAAUUUUAUAGGAUAUCACUGCUUGUAUUCCUCUAAGAAGUCAAUAUUACCAAGGCAUUCUUAUUUCUUCAUCAUAAUGCUUUAUGAUAUUAAUAUGUGUGUGGCACAGACUGAAUGUUUCUGUCCCCCACACCCCAACUUCACAUGUUGAAACCCUAACCCCCUGUGUUGGAAUUAGGAGGUGGGGCCUCUGGGAGGUGAUGAGGUUGUGGGGUGGAGCUCCCAUGCAUGGGAUUAGUGUCCUAAUAAAAGAGCCCAGAGAAAAGACACAGUGAGAUGACUGUGAACCAGGCAGCAGGUUCUCAGCUGACACUGAAUCUGCUAACAGUGUCAUCUAGGACAUCCUCGUCUCCAGAAACGUGAGAAAUGAAUGUCUGUUGUUUAUAAGCCAUGCAGUCUAUGGUAAUCUAUUAUAAUAGCCCAAACAAACUACAACAACGGGUUUGGGUUUUUCGGGGUUUUUUUGCUUUUGUCGUUUCAGGGCUACACCUGCAGCAUAUGGAAGUU